GAGGUGAUGCGGUUGGAGAACGGAGAAGUCAUUUAAUAACCAGAACAACAUGUCUCUAAGCUGACUAUUCCUUAAGGAGUUCGCAAAGUCGUUUGUUGUUUGAUAACGAGAUCGUGCAAGGGAGGUCGCAUGAAGCGUUUGGUCUUGGCUCGUUUGGUCUUGGCUCAUUUGUCAUGAUCAAAAUAUGAGUUUGAUCUAAGCUACUAGAUGAGGUUCGUUUGAUCAUCAGGUGACCGACUUCGUUUAUGCACACGGUUCCGGACAGGAGUUCAAUGUAGUCUGUCG
rnacentral:lncRNA from 1 species